rnacentral:rRNA from 1 species
AUUGAACGCUGGCGGCAUGCCUUACACAUGCAAGUCGAACGGCAGCGCGGGAGCAAUCCUGGCGGCGAGUGGCGAACGGGUGAGUAAUAUAUCGGAACGUGCCCUAGAGUGGGGGAUAACUAGUCGAAAGAUUAGCUAAUACCGCAUACGAUCUACGGAUGAAAGUGGGGGAUCGCAAGACCUCAUGCUCGUGGAGCGGCCGAUAUCUGAUUAGCUAGUUGGUAGGGUAAAAGCCUACCAAGGCCACGAUCAGUAGCUGGUCUGAGAGGACGACCAGCCACACUAGGACUGAGACACGGCCCAGACUCCUACGGGAGGCAGCAGUGGGGAAUUUUGGACAAUGGGGGAAACCCUGAUCCAGCAAUGCCGCGUGUGUGAAGAAGGCCUUCGGGUUGUAAAGCACUUUUGUCCGGAACGAAACGGGCCGAGCUAAUAUCUUGGCCUAAUGACGGUACCGGAAGAAUAAGCACCGGCUAACUACGUGCCAGCAGCCGCGGUAA